UAGCGAAGGGGGCUAGCGUUGCUCGGAAUCACUGGGCGUAAAGGGCGCGUAGGCGGCCAUUCAAGUCGGGGGUGAAAGCCUGUGGCUCAACCACAGAAUUGCCUUCGAUACUGUUUGGCUUGAGUUUGGUAGAGGUUGGUGGAACUGCGAGUGUAGAGGUGAAAUUCGUAGAUAUUGCAAGAACACCAGUGGCGAAGGCGGCCAACUGGACCAAUACUGAACGCUGAGG
rnacentral:rRNA from 1 species